CACCGUCCAGCCUCUUGCCACGGAGGGUACACGCUACUCUCGCCACCGCUCCACGCCCAUUUCGUGUUAUCUUAUUCUGGCCUUAGUCUUCCCGAGGCAAGGCUUACCCAUGACGAGGCAUGUGACCAGUUAAAGGGUCCUCGAUCAGCACGCCUACAUACACGUUCAAUCCUUAAUCAACCUGGGUAGAACAUCACCUGUUCCUAACCCAAGUCUCAAUUUAAGUAUUCCCAUCCUUAGGAUUGUUUCUGUUCCUUAGGAUGAGAAGAGCAUCAUAGGGAACUUUACAGUAAGAUCCCACCAUUGCUCCAAAUGAAAAUAUUCUUGCAGGUAGAAGUCAUCCUUUCUCGAGCUAGGCUAAGGACAACCUCUAUCCACAAGAUCUGAGCAAGGCUAAGCAUUUUUGUAAAUCAUAUUUUGAUACUUCACUGAAGUAUCUAUAAAGGUAUGGAUAUCAAGGAAAGCAAUGCAUCAAAGGGUUCCAAGCAACUCCUAUGAACCUAAUGCACAUUUCAUUAGACUUAAAGUGUGCGAAAAUUAUUUAAAAACACAAGGAAAGGGUUGCAUGCACCGGGGCUUGCCUUCGUUAGUAGGUGAGUCAGGCUCGGACCCGCAGAUGUCGAAGUAGAGCCAAGUCCCUGCCUGAGAUUCCAAAGGUGGUGGUGUCUUCUCUUCAGUCACUUCACUCUCUUCUUCGUUUUCUAAAUAUAACCAUAUAGGUAUAUAUAUAAGAAUGAAUGCCAUGUAAUGCUUAUGAGAGUGCAUAGAUAAUAAAGGUUUAUUAACUAAGUUUUGAAUACAACUUUCCUUCACGGAACUCCGAGAACUUAGGGUUUCCGGAGUCAGUAAAGGAGUUCAAAGGGCAGGGGUAGGGUUUGGGUUAUAAGUAUCAAACAAUGUCCAAAUCAUAUCAAACUCUACCCAAGGUCUCAUAAUAUUGUUGAGAGAUUACCCUAAAAAUUUAGUGAAUUUUGGAUUUAUUAUAUAAUCUCUAAAAAUUCAGAAACAUGGUUUUUGGAUGAUUUAAAUACUCUAUAAUUUCCUAUUUGGACUAAAAAUCAUGAAACUAUUUUUAUUAAAUUCUAUAGGAAAUUAGAAGCCCAUUAAAAUUGGUUUGGUAUUUUUAUCAUUUUUCUUGAAUUCUUUAUGGAUUUCUCAACUUUCUUAGAAAAAGAAAAAGAAAAACGUUCAAUAGUAUUGGGCCAAAUUGUGCCCAACCGGCCCAGUUUAAGCAGAUUACAGGGGCGCGCCCGCGGCAGCGCAGCCUGUUUUGCAUAAAAGUCCUUGCCAGAGUUAAUAUUAGGAACGAAGUCCUCAACUGAACUCUGCGAGUCACUGACAUUUUACUUCUGGCCCCUUCUAGGUUUCUCGUCUUUACAACGUGAGUCCCUAACGUCGCCGGCGGCGCGGACGCAUUCCCACCGCGACACAACGGCGGAGGAGAGCCCGGGCAGCCGUUGGAUAGCGACCAGACCAAAUCCUAACCUACCCCGAGCAUCUAUAGGCAUGGAUUUGACUCACUAACUUACAGAGUGCCAUGACCACGUUCAAGGCGGGAGCCCAGUACCGCGACGUUCACCCAAAUGGCUCCGGCACAGGAUGUUUCAAAUUGAGGGCACAUGGAGCACGAGUAGGGUGCGGGAAACACGACGCUCACAAGAAUUGCCCCUGGGCCAACUGAACUUUGAGUGGGUCAUCACCUGGACAGUUCACGCGGUGUCAAGCCCGUGUUCCGACCAAACCAAGACCGUAAGGACCAAACGGACUUCUCGGUGAGCUUCACCAAGGUACGGGGAUGCUAGAACAUCAGCUUGUGGGGGUUAAGACAUACCACAGUCGUCUGGCCACGUGAAGCCGAGGUGUUGCCGGGGUGGUCAUCAAAUAAGUUUGGUGCCUUGAUCGAUGGAACUUGGGUGUGUCUAGGGUAUGAUUUGGGGGUGUAGUACUACUAAUCAUGGCUGCUCAACAUGGUUGAUGGUGAACUAAGGAUCACUGGUUGGGUUUCUACCUUUCCCUCCCCAGUUGCUCUUUAUAUAGGCAGGGAAAAGAUCACAGGGGUUGGAUGCUUGAACUUGCAGCAAGGACAGCUAUGAACUCUAAAUGCAGUCGUGGCUUCCUCCAGUAAAUCCACGCCAACACAUAGAGCCUAGCUACGCAGGGUGGAGAUUAUCCAUGGGCAAAAGAAAAGAGGGGGUAAGGAUGAGGUGCACUGUACAGGAUAUUUGCACAGGUGAUAUUUCAGGGAUGCACCAAUCUGAAUACCCUUGCCAGCACACCAUCCCAAUCUUCAUCCUAUUCCAAAGUUGGUCACGGCAAGAAAAACUGAACUUGGUCACUUCUAGCAGCCAAAUAUCUGAUUUGUCCCUUUCUGUAGAUAGUAAACCAACAGAUAAGAAUUCUAGUGUGUGCAGACUUAAAUGGAUCCAAACUGAUAUUUCUAAAGGGAUGAAGCCACUAGAACUGCUGCUGUCCAGCAUACCCCAUUAAAGAUUCAUUAGAUGAGGACCCCCUCUCAUUCACUGCUCACAAAAUAGGUCAAAAUUUGGAUAUUUUUUAGUAGAUCUGAGGCCACUAGAUCCCUGGCUCUGGACUUCGACCUUAUACCUACCCAAACAUCCAAAGAAACCAGCAGGGAGAGGAGAUAAUCUUCUUCAGAAACUGUCUUCAGUCCUAAACGAAUUACUGUUGCUUAGCUGGACUGACAGGGGCCUUUCAAGGUCAUUCCCUUACAUUUUCCCUGUAGCAACACCUUAAUUUAAUCAUAGGAAACUUGCUCAUUGACUAUAGCUCUUCAACCCACUACAGCAUUCCACUGCUAGAAACACAUGGAUCACAAACUAUAAGGUUCCAAAGCCAAGCACACACUCUGAAACUCUUCUUCAGAGAGCUGAACUCAAAUGCAACCCUUUAAGUCUGACAAGGCAUAUUAGAGAGCAUUUUACUCACAAUUCCAUAUGACAACAGACCCAUCUCCCUUAACAAGCCUUAUUCUCCAACCAUAGGUCUUCCACUUUGGUACAACACUCCAAAGCUGAAACUACUCAGAAUUGAAGUUGUGGUGUUCCAAAUUAUAGCAGAAACAGUCAAACACUCGGUCUCAGCUUAACUGAACAGCCCUCACUAUUUCUGACAGAGGACGUUACAGCUCCAUUAUCUCUCAAUCUUUACAUAACAACAGGACCAUCUCCUUGCAUGAAACUUGUCCAUCUAUAUCUGGUAUCCAACUUUUCUAUAGAAACUAUAGUCUAAAACUACUCAUAUUGAUCACAAAACAGCUCCAAAUUAAGCAUCCUAUACUGAAAUUCAGGUUUCAGAGACUGAACCCAAAGCAGUUGGAACCAGCCUGACAGUCCAAUUUUGAGCCACUUUUACUCCUUUUUCUGUGUAGCACCAAACCAAACUCACUUAAAGAAAUUUGUUCUCCUAUAUAUGGUCUUCCAUUUUGAUAUACAACUCUUGGUCUAAAACCAUAUAUAUUAAUCACAACUGAGCUCCAAACAGAGCAUCAUUGGCUGUUUUUCAGAGUUUCAGCUCUGAACCACUAAGUCACCAAUAUACUGACAGUCCAUUUUUAGGCAAGCUUUACUCCAAAUUUUGCAUGGGGUCAUGUCAAACUCACUUAAUAAAACUUGUUCACCAUCAUAUGGACUUCAACUUCUCUAUAAACACCAUAGUCCAAAGUUCUAUGGUUUAGCCACAAAUGAGCUCCAAACAGCAUACUCAACACUGAAACUCCACUCACUUCACUAUUCACUAUCUGAAAUUCCAUGAGUCUGUCAACACUUCUUUGGACCACCUUUUCUGCUGGUAGCAUAUACUUUUAAGGCAAAGUUGCUUAACAAAUUUUGUACUUCAAUAGUUCCUCUACAAUUUCUAUAUAGUGACCCUUAGCUAAACCCUUUUGGAUUCCACUCUACCACAACCCAAAGUUUGCACAAAAUACUGAAAUUCAGACUGUAUUUUAUUAAGUUUGAACCCCACACUUUCCAGCAGCUCUACUUUAGACCAGUUCUUCUCCAAAUUCCAUAUAGAUUUAAGGCUAGGUUACUCAAUCAAAGUCACACUCCUCACAUAGCUUUAUAAUUUUUUUACAAUGACUACCUUCAAAAUGUUUAUAGAUCAGAAGUUAUAAAGGACCAAAACUUCCUAGUUGCUACUAUUUUCAGCAAUUCCAAUCUGAGCUCAAAACUGAACUUUGAUGAUUUACUCCAAUUUUCUUCACACAACAUGGGAAUCUCCAAAUAAGAAAUUCAUUCACUUUUUCAAGCUCCACAACUUUGAUAUAUGGACUUUUGUCAAAUUACUUCUAGAUUUUGAAUUCCUCUUUUGGGCUAGUUUUAGUGUUUCACAUGUUCUUCAUUUUCUUCAAGUGUUUCUUCCACUUGCUCUACCUUUGAAAACAAGGUUGCCAUAAACUCUAGGACUUGCCUUUAGCACUUGAAGUUUCCAAGUCAAUUUGUUAUUUGCUCAAGAGUUGACCUACUCUUGUCUAGCUUAAGCCAAGUCCUUAAACUAAACUCUAACAACACACAACAUCACACUGUUUGAAAAAAAAUUAACCUAGUGAAUGCAUUCUAAGUGUAACAAGCACAUUAAUGCAGAUGCUUAUGAUGACAUGUCGGAGUUUUAGUUUACGUAACACCAGAGGUGUUACAACCUUCCCCCCUAAAAAGAAAUCUCGUCCCGAGAUUUAAAAGUCUAGGCUUAGUAAUGGAAAAGGAAACGUGUCACGGACUUAUUUCCUAAUUUCUCUUACAAGGUAGGGGAGGUGUUUUGUUUUACUUAACCACGAUGUUGUUCAACACCUCUAAGGCAGUUACCUAAGCUCCUUCCCAAGGAGUCAUUCCUUUAGAAUGGAACAUCCAAUGUGGCCAAGAUGGUUUUCUAGCACGUUCUGGAAUACGCACUACUACUCAUACCAUGGUUGUCCUCUAAGAAUAGUGUGCGACAACAUUUCUCUAAGGGGGAAAUCUUUUAUUAGCAUAGUUCUUAGCAUGAUGCAUGUAUAAUUACAGAAUCAACCUUAGUUGAUUCAACCUUCUAUGCAUUACACUCUUCCUAUCUGGUCUUUAAAAUAAACUCUUCAGAAACACUUAGGUAAGAAGGGAAGAAAUUUUUUAGAUAAGUCUUUAGAAAAUUCUUUUUGAAGAUGCCUCAUAAUAUCUGCAGAGAUGGGCUUCGCUCCGAUACCAGCUGUGACGGAACCUCCCAAGUAAUUAGGCCCACCUACAGUUGUCCUUGUCCAACAGACAUCAGACAACCCUGUAGAUGUUCCUGAAUCACUUGACAAGUUCGGUAUCUUCUUUUCUCACCUUUCCCAAGAGCGUUUCACCCGUCUUGCAGACAUUACAGAACAUCGGAGAUAUAGAAAUGCGGAAGCAAUUAUAUAAACUUACAUUUAUUUAGAAAGUAAGAUCAAGUUAUUUAUUACAGACCAGAGUUAUAAAACGAGUGCAGGGUAGUAUUAUUACACAUACCAGGGGAGGCAAAAACUCCUCCCGAUAACUAUCAAACAAAGGUUCUUAUGGAGGACCACGUCCUCCCGCAUCUUCACUCUUGUUUUUCUUCAUUUGACACCACCUUGGAGCAAAAGCAACAAAAAUUUGUCGCUUCCUCACCUAAAAACAACGGAGGGAUAAACCCUGAGUAUGGAAUUACUCACCAAGUCUUACCCGACUAAGAAAAAGACUCUCAAGGGUAUGCUGGAUAAUUAGGAAUCAAGGAGAGGCUUUAGCAAAAAUCAACUUAGAUACUUUUGCAGAAAUAGCUUACUAAAGUGAGUCCUUACUUUCAAUAUUUUAACACCAUAUUAAGUAUUAAUAGACUCUAUUUGCAUCUAGUCUAAUUUCACCAUCUCAUCAAUACAACAUCAUUUUUAUUCAUAAUGUUCACAUCCUGACUUAGGUUGUAGGGAAGUGACCAAGUCUUCAUAACCGCGAAGGUACGGCGAUCUGAAUCGAUUAUACUCAGCUGAGGAUCUCCAAUCACACGACAUAUGUAGCACUUAACCCUUGCAUAUGUCAACCCGCCACCGGGGUUCUUAAGACCAGAUCAGGUUCACGCAAACCGAGAGCACAGAUACACCACCGUCCAGCCUCUUGCCACGGAGGGUACACGCUACUCUCGCCACCGCUCCACGCCCAUUUCGUGUUAUCUUAUUUUGGCCUUAGUCUUCCCGAGGCAAGGCUUACCCAUGACGAGGCAUGUGACCAGUUAAAGGGUCCUCGAUCAGCACGCCUACAUACACGUUCAAUCCUUAAUCAACCUGGGUAGAACAUCACCUGUUCCUAACCCAAGUCUCAAUUUAAGUAUUCCCAUCCUUAGGAUUGUUUCUGUUCCUUAGGAUGAGAAGAGCAUCAUAGGGAACUUUACAGUAAGAUCCCACCAUUGCUCCAAAUGAAAAUAUUCUUGCAGGUAGAAGUCAUCCUUUCUCGAGCUAGGCUAAGGACAACCUCUAUCCACAAGAUCUGAGCAAGGCUAAGCAUUUUUGUAAAUCAUAUUUUGAUACUUCACUGAAGUAUCUAUAAAGGUAUGGAUAUCAAGGAAAGCAAUGCAUCAAAGGGUUCCAAGCAACUCCUAUGAACCUAAUGCACAUUUCAUUAGACUUAAAGUGUGCGAAAAUUAUUUAAAAACACAAGGAAAGGGUUGCAUGCACCGGGGCUUGCCUUCGUUAGUAGGUGAGUCAGGCUCGGACCCGCAGAUGUCGAAGUAGAGCCAAGUCCCUGCCUGAGAUUCCAAAGGUGGUGGCGUCUUCUCUUCAGUCACUUCACUCUCUUCUUCGUUUUCUAAAUAUAACCAUAUAGGUAUAUAUAUAAGAAUGAAUGCCAUGUAAUGCUUAUGAGAGUGCAUAGAUAAUAAAGGUUUAUUAACUAAGUUUUGAAUACAACUUUCCUUCACGGAACUCCGAGAACUUAGGGUUUCCGGAGUCAGUAAAGGAGUUCAAAGGGCAGGGGUAGGGUUUGGGUUAUAAGUAUCAAACAAUGUCCAAAUCAUAUCAAACUCUACCCAAGGUCUCAAAAUAUUGUUGAGAGAUUACCCUAAAAAUUUAGUGAAUUUUGGAUUUAUUAUAUAAUCUCUAAAAAUUCAGAAACAUGGUUUUUGGAUGAUUUAAAUACUCUAUAAUUUCCUAUUUGGACUAAAAAUCAUGAAACUAUUUUUAUUAAAUUCUAUAGGAAAUUAGAAGCCCAAUAAAAUUGGUUUGGUAUUUUUAUCAUUUUUCUUGAAUUCUUUAUGGAUUUCUCAACUUUCUUAGAAAAAGAAAAAGAAAAACGUUCAAUAGUAUUGUGCCAAAUUGUGCCCAACCGGCCCAGUUUAAGCAGAUUACAGGGGCGCGCCCGCGGCAGCGCAGCCUGUUUUGCAUAAAAGUCCUUGCCAGAGUUAAUAUUAGGAACGAAGUCCUCAACUAAACUCUGCGAGUCACUGACAUUUUACUUCUGGCCCCUUCUAGGUUUCUCGUCUUUACAACGUGAGUCCCUGACGUCGUCGGCGGCGCGGACGCAUUCCCACCGCGACACAACGGCGGAGGAGAGCCUGGGCAGCCGUUGGAUAGCGACCAGACCAAAUCCUAACCUACCCCGAGCAUCUAUAGGCAUGGAUUUGACUCACUAACUUACAGAGUGCCAUGACCACGUUCAAGGCGGGAGCCCAGUACCGCGACGUUCACCCAAAUGGCUCCGGCACAGGAUGUUUCAAAUUGAGGGCACAGGGAGCACGAGUAGGAUGCGGGAAACACGACGCUCACAAGAAUUGCCCCUGGGCCAACUGAACUUUGAGUGGGUCAUCACCAGGACAGUUCACGCGGUGUCAAGCCCGUGUUCCGACCAAACCAAGACCGUAAGGACCAAACGGACUUCUCGGUGAGCUUCACCAAGGUACGGGGAUGCUAGAACAUCAGCUUGUGGGGGUUAAGACAUACCACAGUCGUCUGGCCACGUGAAGCCGAGGUGUUGCCGGGGUGGUCAUCAAAUAAGUUUGGUGCCUUGAUCGAUGGAACUUAGGUGUGUCUAGGGUAUGAUUUGGGGGUGUAGUACUACUAAUCAUGGCUGCUCAACAUGG
rnacentral:lncRNA from 1 species